rnacentral:rRNA from 1 species
UACGUAGGGACCGAGCGUUGUCCGGAAUCAUUGGGCGUAAAGAGCGUGUAGGCGGCCUGUUAAGUCUUGCGUGAAAUCUCGGGGCUCAACCCCGAGCGGUCGUGAGAAACUGGCAGGCUAGAGUGCGGGAGAGGAGAGUGGAAUUCCUGGUGUAGCGGUGAAAUGCGCAGAUAUCAGGAAGAACACCCGUGGCGAAGGCGGCUCUCUGGAACGCAACUGACGCUGAGACGCGAAAGCGUGGGGUAGCAAACAGGAUUAGAACCUCCGUUGUCAGACCAAGACCA